AGCGGGGUGGAGGAAUGGCACCUCGUCAGGCUCAUAAUCUGAAGGUCCCGGUUCGAAUCCGGGCCCCGCAACCA
rnacentral:tRNA from 2 species